UACGAAGGGGGCUAGCGUUGUUCGGAUUUACUGGGCGUAAAGCGCACGUAGGCGGUUUGUUAAGUCAGGGGUGAAAUCCCCGGAGCUCAACUCCGGAACUGCCUUUGAUACUGGCAAGCUAGAGUCCGGAAGAGGUAAGUGGAACUCCUAGUGUAGAGGUGGAAUUCGUAGAUAUUAGGAAGAACACCAGUGGCGAAGGCGGCUUACUGGUCCGGAUCUGACGCUGAGGCGCGAAAGCGUGGGGAGCAAACAGG
rnacentral:rRNA from 1 species